UACGAAGGGGGCUAGCGUUGCUCGGAAUCACUGGGCGUAAAGGGCGCGUAGGCGGACGUUUAAGUCAGGGGUGAAAGCCCGAGGCUCAACCUCGGAAUUGCCCUUGAUACUGGAUGUCUCGAGACCGGAAGAGGUGAGUGGAACUGCGAGUGUAGAGGUGAAAUUCGUAGAUAUUCGCAAGAACACCAGUGGCGAAGGCGGCUCACUGGUCCGGAUCUGACGCUGAGGCGCGAAAGCGUGGGGAGCAAACAGG
rnacentral:rRNA from 1 species